AUAAGCGGAGGAAAAGAAACUAACAAGGAUUCCCCUAGUAACUGCGAGUGAAGCGGGAAAAGCUCAAAUUUAAAAUCUGUCAGUCUUUGGCUGUCCGAGUUGUAAUCUAGAGAAGUGUUAUCCGCGCUGGACCGUGUACAAGUCUCCUGGAAUGGAGCGUCAUAGAGGGUGAGAAUCCCGUCUUUGACACGGACUGCCAGGGCUUUGUGAUACGCUCUCAAAGAGUCGAGUUGUUUGGGAAUGCAGCUCAAAAUGGGUGGUAAAUUCCAUCUAAAGCUAAAUAUUGGCGAGAGACCGAUAGCGAACAAGUACCGUGAGGGAAAGAUGAAAAGAACUUUGGAAAGAGAGUUAAACAGUACGUGAAAUUGCUGAAAGGGAAACGCUUGAAGUCAGUCGCGUUGUCCAGGGAUCAGCCUUGCUUUUGCUUGGUGUACUUUCUGGUUGACGGGUCAGCAUCAAUUUUGACUGUUGGAAAAAGGUCAGGGGAAUGUGGCAUCUUCGGAUGUGUUAUAGCCCUUGGUUGCAUACAAUGGUUGGGAUUGAGGAACUCAGCACGCCGCAAGGCCGGGUAACUAUUACCACGUACGUGCUUAGGAUGCUGGCAUAAUGGCUUUAAUCGACCCGUCUUGAAACACGGACCAAGGAGUCUAACAUGCCUGCGAGUGUUUGGGUGGAAAACUCGAGCGCGUAAUGAAAGUGAAAGUUGAGAUCCCUGUCGUGGGGAGCAUCGACGCCCGGACCAGACCUUUUGUGACGGUUCCGCGGUAGAGCAUGUAUGUUGGGACCCGAAAGAUGGUGAACUAUGCCUGAAUAGGGUGAAGCCAGAGGAAACUCUGGUGGAGGCUCGUAGCGAUUCUGACGUGCAAAUCGAUCGUCAAAUUUGGGUAUAGGGGCGAAAGACUAAUCGAACCAUCU
rnacentral:rRNA from 1 species